rnacentral:misc_RNA from 1 species
GCUUUUUUGUUUUGAAGGCAUUGGAUGUGGAGGUUUAUUGCUGGCUUUAUUCGUAGAGUUGGCUCCUCUUAAAUGCAUUAGUGGCUUCUUUGAAGGAUCCCCAUAUAAUGGUGUGAUAGCAUUAUCUACAUCAUACAAUGGCUAGGUCAUGUAAAAGAUAAAGGAGUUGCUUUCUAACCGUCCUUGAUUGGACAACCUGAACCAUUUGACCUCAAAUCAGGUAGGACUACCCGCUGAACUUAA